rnacentral:lncRNA from 1 species
GAAAGCUGCCUCCCAGAAGAGAUCAAUUCUGAGAUUUUUAUACUCUUUACAGCAGAAGCAAAGCAACAUCAAAAAAGGAAUAUGGUUUUAUCAGAAGAAAUUCCAUGGAAGAAGAUGAAUGGGGAGCUUUCUUGAGAAAGUAUAUCCGCCACCACCAUGGCCACCCUACACACCUUCUAAACACUGAAGAAGAAUUCUUAGGAAUUGACAAAGGGCCUGGAUUCAUUCACUUCCUGACUUCAGACAAAUCACAUCUCAGUCAGUUUCAAGGUUCUCCAAACUCUGGUGUUCCACAUUCUAGGAUCUUCUGUAUUCUAAGGUUCUUCGGACAUUUUCUCUUCCAUAUCUCUGAUAUUCCAUCAUAGAGGAAGAGCCUGACCCCUGUCAACUGGUUUUGGAACCCCCAAGUUUUCUCCUGCCCCCUUGGGAACUUAUCUUAAGGGAAAUCCCAAACUGACUUAGUCUCCAACAGAACAAUAAACCCUUAAAGGACCCAAUGAUCUAAGCUUAG